rnacentral:rRNA from 1 species
AACGCUGGCGGCAUGCUUUACACAUGCAAGUCGAACGGCAGCAUGGAAGAGCUUGCUCUUCUGAUGGCGAGUGGCGAACGGGUGAGUAAAGCAUCGGAACGUACCGUGUAGUGGGGGAUAACGUAGCGAAAGUUACGCUAAUACCGCAUACGCACUGAGGUGGAAAGCAGGGGAUCGCAAGACCUUGCGCUAUACGAGCGGCCGAUGUCAGAUUAGCUAGUUGGUAGGGUAAAGGCCUACCAAGGCGACGAUCUGUAGCGGGUCUGAGAGGAUGAUCCGCCACACUGGGACUGAGACACGGCCCAGACUCCUACGGGAGGCAGCAGUGGGGAAUUUUGGACAAUGGGGGCAACCCUGAUCCAGCAAUGCCGCGUGAGUGAAGAAGGCCUUCGGGUUGUAAAGCUCUUUUGUCAGGGAAGAAACAGCAGCUCUAACACAGUCUGCGAAUGACGGUACCUGAAGAAUAAGCACCGGCUAACUACGUG